rfam:Gasterosteus aculeatus cont1.005794, whole genome shotgun sequence.
CUGUGACCGGGUUCAAGUAAUCCAGGAUAGGCUUUCUGCGUCUGUGUUGGCCUGUGCUUGAUUACUUGCACUCGGGGUCAG